AUUGAACGCUGGCGGCGUGCUUAACACAUGCAAGUCGAGCGGUAACAGGCGUAGCAAUACGUGCUGACGAGCGGCGAACGGGUGCGUAAUACAUGGGAAUCUGCCUUUUAGUGGGGAAUAACCCGGCGAAAGCCGGGCUAAUGCCGCAUAAGAUCUACGGAUGAAAGCGGGGGAUCGUAAGACCUCGCGCUGAAAGAUGAGCCCAUGCCGGAUUAGCAGUUGGUGAGGUAACGGCUCACCAAGGCGACGAUCCGUAGCUGGUCUGAGAGGACGGCCAGCCACACUGGGGCUGAGACACGGCCCAGACUCCUACGGGAGGCAGCAGUGGGGAAUAUUGGACAAUGGGCGAAAGCCUGAUCCAGCGACGCCGCGUGUGUGAAGAAGGCC
rnacentral:rRNA from 1 species